rnacentral:misc_RNA from 1 species
UUUCCGUAGGUGAACCUGCGGAAGGAUCAUUACAGUAGUCGCCUGGGUUGCCGCAAGGCCUCCCGGGUAACCUACCACCCUUUGUUUAUUACACUUUGUUGCUUUGGCAGGCCUGCCCUCGGGCUGCUGGCUCCGGCCGGCGAGCGCUUGCCAGAGGACCUAUACUCUGUUUGUCUAUACUGUCUGAGUACUAUAUAAUAGUUAAAACUUUCAACAACGGAUCUCUUGGUUCUG